UUACGACCAUAUCACGUUGAUACACCGGUCCCCGUACGAUCACCGGAGUUAAACAACGUCGAGCCUGGGUGGGUGACUGCUUGGGAAUACCAGGUGCUGUAAG